UACGUAGGGUGCAAGCGUUAAUCGGAAUUACUGGGCGUAAAGCGUGCGCAGGCGGUUAUGCAAGACAGAGGUGAAAUCCCCGGGCUCAACCUGGGAACUGCCUUUGUGACUGCAUAGCUAGAGUACGGUAGAGGGGGAUGGAAUUCCGCGUGUAGCAGUGAAAUGCGUAGAUAUGCGGAGGAACACCGGGUGGCGAAGGCGGGGUCUCUGGGCCGUUAC
rnacentral:rRNA from 1 species